UACGGAGGGUGCAAGCGUUGUCCGGAAUCACUGGGCGUAAAGGGCGCGUAGGCGGCUCGGUAAGUAGGGGGUGAAAUCCUGCGGCUUAACCGCAGGGCUGCCUUCUAAACUGUCGAGCUCGAGCACGGUAGAGGCAGAUGGAAUUCCCGGUGUAGCGGUGGAAUGCGUAGAGAUCGGGAAGAACAUCAGUGGCGAAGGCGGUCUGCUGGGCCGUUGCUGACGCUGAGGCGCGACAGCGUGGGGAGCAAACAGG
rnacentral:rRNA from 1 species